rnacentral:rRNA from 1 species
GACGAACGCUGGCGGCGUGCUUAACACAUGCAAGUCGAGCGGAAAGGCCCUUCGGGGUACUCGAGCGGCGAACGGGUGAGUAACACGUGAGUAACCUGCCCCAGACUUUGGGAUAACCCUCGGAAACGGGGGCUAAUACCGGAUACGACACAGCUUCGCAUGGGGUCUGUGUGGAAAGUUUUUCGGUUUGGGAUGGGCUCGCGGCCUAUCAGCUUGUUGGUGGGGUGAUGGCCUACCAAGGCGACGACGGGUAGCCGGCCUGAGAGGGCGACCGGCCACACGGGGACUGAGAUACGGCCAAGACUCCUACGGGAGGCAGCAGUGGGGAAUAUUGCACAAUGGGCGGAAGCCUGAUGAAGCGACGCCGCGUGAGGGAUGACGGCCUUCGGGUUGUAAACCUCUUUCAGCAGGGACGAAGCGUAAGUGACGGUACCUGCAGAAGAAGCGCCGGCCAACUACGUG